rnacentral:ncRNA from 1 species
UUGAGCCGUAUGCGGGGGAACUCGCACGUGCGGUUCUUGGGGGGGGGAAAGCUUGUAAGAGCCUACCCAUCCCAAU